UACAGAGGUGGCUAGCGUUGUUCGGAAUUACUGGGCGUAAAGAGCGUGUAGGCGGCCAGGUAGGUCGGUUGUGAAAACUAGAGGCUCAACCUCUAGACGUCGACCGAAACCAUCUGGCUAGAGUCCGGAAGAGGAGAGUGGAAUUCCUGGUGUAGCGGUGAAAUGCGUAGAUAUCUGGAGGAAUACCGGUGGCGAAGGCGGCGAUCCUGGACCGACAUUGACGCUGAGGAGCGAAAGCUAGGGGAGCAAACGGG
rnacentral:rRNA from 1 species